GUGUGGUAGGGGCAGAGGGAAUUCCCGGUGUAGCGGUGAAAUGUGUAGAUAUCGGGAAGAACACCAGUGGCGAAGGCGCUCUGCUGGGCCAUAAUUGACGCUCAUGGACGAAAGCCAGGGAGCGAAAGGGAUUAGAUACCCCUGUAGUCCUGGCCGUAAACGAUGAACACUAGGUGUCGGGGGAAUCGACCCCCUCGGUGUCGUAGCCAACGCGUUAAGUGUUCCGCCUGGGGAGUACACACGCAAGUGUGAAACUCAAAGGAAUUGACGGGGGCCCGCACAAGCUGUGGAGUAUGUGGUUUAAUUCGAUGCAACGCGAAGAACCUUACCAGGGUUUGACAUCCUGCGAAUCUCUUGGAAACGAGAGAGUGCCUUCGGGAACGCAGUGACAGGUGGUGCAUGGCUGUCGUCAGCUCGUGUUGUGAGAUGUUGGGUUAAGUCCCGCAACGAGGGCAACCCACGUCGUUAGUUGCCAGCAUUCAGUUGGACACUCUAGCGAGACCGCCGGUGAUAAACCGGAGGAAGGUGUGGAUGACGUCAAGUCAUCAUGCCCCUUACAUCCUGGGCUACACACGUACUACAAUGCUACGGACAAAGGGCAGCAAACUCGCGAGAGCUAGCAAAUCCCAUAAACCGUGGCUCAGUUCAGAUCGUAGGCUGCAACUCGCCUACGUGAAGGAGGAAUCGAUAGUAAUCGUAGGUCAGCAUACUGCGGUGAAUACGUUCCCGGGCCUUGUACACACCGCCCGUCACACCAUGGAAGUUGGCCACGCCCGAAGCCGUUACUCCAACCCUUGUGGAGGAGGACGUCGAAGGUGGGGCUGAUGACUGGGGUGAAGUCGUAACAAGGUAGCCGUACCGGAAGGUGCGGCUGGAACACCUCCUAA
rnacentral:rRNA from 1 species